rnacentral:rRNA from 1 species
AAUAUUGCACAAUGGGGUAAACCCUGAUGCAGCGACGCCGCGUGAGCGAAGAAGGCCUUCGGUUCGUAAAGUUCUGUCCUAAGGGCAGAAGAGGACGGUACCUUAGGAGGAAGCCCCGGCUAACUACGUUCCAUCAGCCGCGGUAAUACGUAGGGGGCGAGCGUUAUCCGGAAUUACUGGGCGGAAAGGGUGCGUAGGCGGCCUUUUAAGUCAGAUGUGAAAGGCUACGGCUUAACCGUAGUUAGCAUUUGAAACUAGAAGGCUUGAGUGCAGGAGAGGAGAGUGGAAUUCCUAGUGUAGCGGUGAAAUGCGUAGAUAUUAGGAGGAACACCAGUGGCGAAGGCGACUCUCUGGACUGCAACUGACGCUGAGGCACGAAAGCGUGGGGAGCAAACAGG